rnacentral:tRNA from 1 species
UCUCGGGUGGCCUAGUGGUAAAGAAUCUGCCUGCAAUUCAGGAGACCCGGGUUCGAUCCCUGGGUCGGGAA